rnacentral:rRNA from 1 species
CAGUAGCCACGGGAAUACAGAGGGUGCGAGCGUUAAUCAGAUUUACUGGGCGUAAAGCGUGCGUAGGCGGCUUCUUAAGUCGGAUGUGAAAUCCCUGAGCUUAACUUAGGAAUUGCAUUCGAUACUGGGAAGCUAGAGUAUGGGAGAGGAUGGUAGAAUUCCAGGUGUAGCGGUGAAAUGCGUAGAGAUCUGGAGGAAUACCGAUGGCGAAGGCAGCCAUCUGGCCUAAUACUGACGCUGAGGUACGAAAGCAUGGGGAGCAAACAGGAUUAGAUACCCCAGUAGUCCCUGUCUCUUAUAC